AACGUAGGAGACAACCGUUAUCCGGAGUUACUGGGCGUAAAGGGCGUGUAGGCGGUUUGUUAAGUCUGGCGUGAAAGCUCUCGGCUAAACCGGGAGAGGUCGUUGGAUACUGGCAAACUAGAGGACGGUAGAGGCGUGUGGAAUUCCGGGUGUAGUGGUGAAAUGCGUAGAGAUCCGGAGGAACGCCAGUGGCGAAGGCGACACGCUGGGCCGUACCUGACGCUAAAGCGCGACAGCAUGGGGAGCAAACGGG
rnacentral:rRNA from 1 species